UUAUGUAUGAGUGUGUUUUCAAAUAACUUAUCUUUGAAAUGGUGGAAAAUUUAUACGUAAUAAACAAGUGUGUAUGUUUCAUUUGCAACUCUACAUACGGGGAUUGUUACAGACAUAUAGAUUUGAAGAAAACAUAUAUAAUAUUGUGCACCUGUAGUGUUUGAGUGAUUAAAUGUAGCUUAAUACAAGGUGAUGGGAUAAAACCGCAAGUGCACGGUUUUAUCGAAGUAGUAAAAAUAGAGUAUCGUUCCGACAGGGAGUUAGGAAUUCAAUUAACUUUAAAUAAUAAUUAGACUGAAGGUUUAAAAGGUAGAAAAGUUUGUAUUUUUAAUUAAAAGAAAAAUAACAAAAGAAAAGAUAAAAGCCUUGGGAUUAUUGGUUCAUCUAAUUGACUAGUCCUUCACAAACCAAACUAUUAAACUUAUAACAUUAUGUUAGAUCUAACUUCUAAAGACAGUUUCUCUUUUGUUCCUCUAGCCACCAAGCCUAUUUCGCUGACUUGAUGACUAUUAGAUUUUGGUUCCUUUAAUAACCAAGCCUAUUUCGCUGACUUGAUUACUAUUAGUUCCCUUGAAGAUCGAAACUAUAUGUCUCAAGGAUUGCAAAGACUAUUUCGCUGCCUUUGCAAUCCUUGUCUAAAUUCACUUGUUCGAAUAUCAAAGCUCCACUUUCGUUUUAUGAAUUGAUAUUUGAGAUGAUGGAUUAACAAUUAUCAAACCCUCCACUUUCGUUUCCACAGUUUGAUAAUGGUUAAUUCAUGUUAAAGCGGUGAAUUUAGAUUAGAGAUUAGGGUUACAUAAGAUUAAUGUUUAAAGCUUGGUUUGAUUAGGAUUAUGUCAUUUAGACUUAUCCAACAAUCCUAAGACAAGAAGAAGUCUACUCACUAACGUUCAUUGUAGACAUGGAGAAGAAGAGAGAAAGCAUAAAAGUAAAUGACAAGAAAGUAAAGGUGAACUUUUAUUCAAAGAAACAAUUGUCACUUAUUAUUUCAGAUAACAAAAGAUGAAUAUUUGUGAUGGCUAGCUACUCUAUUUAUAGUUUACAUUCGACUUAAAAUCUAAGCAAUCACUAGAAUGUUCCACAAGUAAACUAAACAGAGUAGCUUAAAAUCUAAGCAAAAGUAGUUCUGGAGGGUGGCACGGCCUUGCCAAGCCUAGCACGGGCCGUGCCAAGUUUCUGACUUGAGGGAGAUAUAUUUUUGUCUCCGAAUCUUCGUAUUUUCGUACCAAAUCAGCUCCAAAACCCCUUUCUUUUGCUCCAAGACUCAAUCCAUCAAAUAUUCGUUCCUGAAAUAUAACAAUAUGCAAUUGUAGUAAAAUAGUUCAAAAAGGAAAUAAUAUUAAUAUAAAAUAAACUUAAAUCUAAUUAAAACGAAACUAAAUAAUAUAUUAAAAUAGAUAAUAAAUGAUUCAUCACAAGGAUGCGUGACAUUGAGAUCUGCAGCAACUAAAGUAUCAUAUUUUUUAAAGGAUAUUAUGCAUUGUAG
rnacentral:lncRNA from 1 species